CCUACGGGUGGCAGCAGUCGAGAAUCAUUCACAAUGGGGGAAACCCUGAUGGUGCGACGCCGCGUGGGGGAAUGAAGGUCUUCGGACUGUAAACCCCUGUCAUGUGGGAGCAAAUUAAAAAGAUAGUACCACAAGAGGAAGAGACGGCUAACCCGGGGCCAGCAGCCGCGGUAAUACAGAGGGCUCAAGCGUUGUUCGGAAUCACUGGGCGUAAGGCGUGCGGAGGCUGUUUCGUAAGUCGUGUGUGAAAGGCGGGGGCUCAACCCGCGGACGGCACAUGAUACUGCGAGACUAGAGUAAGGGAGGGGGAACCGGAAUUCUCGGUGUAGCAGUGAAAUGCGUAGAUAUCGGGAGGAACACUCGUGGCGAAGGCGGGUUCCUGGACAUUAACUGACGCUGAGGCACGAAGGCCAGGGGAGCGAAAGGGAUUAGAUACCCCGGUAGUC
rnacentral:rRNA from 1 species